AAAAACACAAGCAGGUUCCCCUCCUUUCCUUUGCCUUUUGGUCUGGCUCUCCCUUCCCUUUGGGUUGGCGCCGGCCUAAAUGGAAAACCCGUCAUCUUGCCUCCACUAACCUGUGAGCACCGGGUACCUGGAGGCCAAGGCCCCUCUGCUGGGCGGGGGGCGGUCCCCCGGGAGCUGUACCCCAUCAUUCCGCAGCCCGGUGUGAACACAGGCCCAGAGAGGUGAUGUGAUUUGCCCUAAGCCAUGCAGCUAGUGGCAGAGCCAGGCCUAGAAGCCAGGUGUCCUGGCUCCCAAGACAUUCCGCUGCCCGAGGAAUGGAACAGGUACAGGGUGAAGAACAAAACCUAUUGUAGGGCUUCCCUGAUGGCCCAAUGGAUAGGAAUCUACCUGGCCAAUGCAGAGGACACACGUUCGACACCUGGCCUGUGAAGAUCCCAC
ensembl:lncRNA